rnacentral:lncRNA from 1 species
AGAAGACCCGAGGCCUCUGCUACGAACACUGGCAGCCGAUGGAAAAUUCAGACGGAUUUGGGACAGUAUGCAGAGUUCUCCAAGCGACAGAUUAACAGAGGCUCUUGAAGAAUAACUGCGUAAUCACGUGUUCUGCUCAAAAGAAGGCCUGAAUGCCCAGUGCCUUAUUUGGCUUUCAGGGUUGGUGAAAGAAAAAGCAAAGUAGAUGCUUUCUAAUGCUAAGUCAUUUAAUGUAGCACCAUUCCUUGAACUUCUUUCAUCUCUAAGGUCGUCCCUUUCACCUGAUGAUGACCUUUGGGCCAUCGUACAGGCAUGUGUAAACUUGGAGAUCUUCCUCAACAUUGCACCAUAUCUUGGGUUCAUUCAAGGCAGAGUCUCCUUGCAAAAGCAUUCUAAAACAAUGUAAAGUCGAAGAGAGUAGAGCAAUACCUCCAUAGUUGGAAAAUGUGGAGGAGGCCAAUUAAGGGACAGAAAAAGAAGUGCAGAGAAUCUUGGAAUUGUUGCAAAAUUAUUCUGGAGAUAUUUCUAAGUCUCCUCUAUCCUUUUCCUUAGUGAUUAAUACAGGUUUUUAUAUUAAGUGGACAGUAAAAUCCAAACAGAAAGAGGUAUAUGUCGUAUAAUGAAGCCUAUGUUCAAAGUAUAUCUGAAAUUUGUUUUUAUAAUGUCUUUCUUGAGAGCUUAUAAAGAUGUCAGUAUUCUGUGGGAAACAAAUUGGCACAUGCAUAAAAGAGAAAAAAUGAAAAAAAUCAGGCCCAACUUUCAGUUUACAGAUGAGGAAACUGUGACAUAGAAAAGGAAAUGACAAAGAUCACACUGAAUCAGACCUGGGAACUGGAGCCCAGCCAUGCUCCUUGGCCCAGUGCCUCUUCUUAUUCUAGGAGCUCAUACCCCUUUGAAAGAAACAUAAUAUGAAUGUGUCUUCAAAUGAUGCUCAUAAAUCUCUUCAUCAUACUGAGGGAGGGAGAUAAGGGGAUUAGUUCUUCAGGAUCUAGACAGGCUUUCAAGAAAAUCUUUAGCUGGGUGCGGUGGCUCAUUCGUGUAAUCCCAGCGCUUUGGGAGGCUGAGGCAGGUGGAUCACCUGAGGUCAGGAGUUCCAGAUCAGGCUGGCCAACAGCGUCUCUACUAAAAAUACAAAAAUUAGCCAGGCAUGGUGGCGGGAGCCUGUAAUCCCAGCUACUCGGGAGGCUGAGGCAGGAGAAUCGCUUGAACCUGGGAGGCGGAGGUUGCAGUGAAGUGAGAUCGUGCCAUUGCACUCCAGGGCAACGAGUGAAACUCCAUCUCAAAAAAAAAAAAAAAAUCAUCAUCAUCAUCAUCUUAGCAGAGCUCUCGCUAAAUGAUAAAGACUUGGCAACUGAUAUCCUUUUUUUCAGAGAACUUAAGUAGAGACUGGAUAAUCACUAAUUGGGGUUGUGUUUAAGGGCAUUCAAACCUCUGAAAUCUCUUCCAUCUGCAGGUCUAAUUAUUUGGUUACUCUUUCAGUACAUGUGUGCAGGAAGCAUGGGGGGAAAGAAAACUAAUCCCUCUCCAAAGUCUUCUUUGAAUAGGUAUUAUGUUUGCAUUUUCAUACAUGUUAGUUCACUUAGUCUUCACCAUAGGCUUUCUAGGUUGGUAUUAUUCUUAGUCUACCUAAGAAGUUCACAAAGGUUAGGUGACAUGCUCCAAGCCACACAGAUGAUAGGCGGCACAACCAGAUGAUACUACAGGUCUCCAGAUGAGUGAGCCAAUGAUUACAUAGUUUGUUCCCCAGCCCCUCCCCAGUGUAGGUAAAGUGCCUGCACUGCUCACUGGGUCAUCAGAGCAAGUUGCUCCCACUGCCCUCUUGGUCUAACGGCUAGAAACAAAGCUGCAACAGAGGCCCACUCCUACUAGGAGACAGGCAUUUUAAUUGGCACCUCCUUACAAAGGCUCCAGUGUUCUAGAGCUUUGCAUACAGGAAGAUUCUCGUUGAACAAUGAAGCCAAACCUCGCUUCCAAAAUUCCCAGUUUGGUAGUUCACUGUGGAUGAAGAGGCCGGAGACACCCUUAGACAAGCUGGGACCGUGAUGAUAGGAACCAGUUUGUGAAGGGAGGAGGCUGGGCUAACAGGAUCUAGGGAGAUAGAUGAUAUCUGGACCUUAGGUAGUUCGUGUUACUCAAAGUCAGCAAGGUUUUUGUUGUUUUUUGAGACAGUCUUGUUAUGUUGCCCAGCCUGGAGUGCAGCAGUGCGAUCUCAGCUCGCUGCAACCUCCACCCCGUGGGUUCAAGCAAUUCUUGUGCCUCAGCCUCCUGAGUAGCUGGGACUACAGGUGCGGGCCGCCACACUUGGCUAAUUUUUUGUACUUUUAGUAGAGAUGGAGUUUCACCAUGUUGGCCAGGCUGGUCUUGAAGUCCUGUCCUCAAGUGAUCUGCCUGCCGCAGCUUACCACAAGUGCUGGGAUUACAGGUGUGAGCCACUGCACCUGGCCAAGAUCAUUUGAUGUUCUUGGGUGAAUGGCCACUUUCACCUGGAUCCCACCAAUUUUUGGUGCCCUAGGGAGCAUGAUCCAGAGUUCCCUCAAGACAGAGGAUGUGCUAAAGGCAAACUCCAGAGGUCAUCCUAUCCCCAUGCCUUCCGCCUUUCUAAAGAGAAGCUCUUCUGCCCUGCUGUUACCACUCAGUACUCUAGAUUAAACCUGUUCCCCACGUUCAUUCUGUACCCAUGACUAUAUUUCUGCUUCCUGGAAAGUUGUAGCCAUAGGAAUGAAAAACUCACCAAUCAGUUGUGGUCUUCCUGAGGCAAGUCAGUCACCUUCCUACUCUGGUAUCUUCCAUGGCUACCAGCUGGCCACAGAACCAAGCACUGACUCACCAGCCUCCAGUCUGGUUCCUUUUCAGCCUUUUUGCCACCCCUACAGCCCAUACUACAUCAUCCAUUCUGGCCAUCUCAGAUUCUUCCUUGCUAGCUCCCACCUUUCCCUGCAUCCAGUCCUCUGUACUAUUUCAUCUAUUUGAACACUCUUUUCUCCCUGCAUCCUGGGUCUCCAUUCAAAUCUUCCUCUUCCCUGGAAGUACAGCUUCAGUGGUUAACAUCACAAAGCAAAGCUGACUUCAGCAAACUUUCCAAGACAACCAGGGACCAACACAGUUCAGAUUAAAGGGGAUAAAUAAAGUGGCUUUAAGAUCACUUGUAGUUCAGAGGUCACCCAGGGGAUUAGGAUCUAUGCAGAGACCUGCAGAGCCACGCUGCUUCCCCAAGGGACCCCCUUCAUGCUGCUGGAACUUGCCCUACCCCUCAGGAGAAACUGGGCUGCUGUAGCUGCGUCACGCAGGCGGCUGUGGGCCAGCCCGGAGCAAAACUGUGUUGCUUGGCAUUUCUCCACUUCCUCUCGUGGCCGACGUCAUUCUGUGACUGUGCAGGGAUUCAUGCUCGCCAUUGCACUCCACAACAGGGUCUUGCGGUGUCACCCAGGCUAGAGUACAGUGGUGCAAUCAUAGCUCACUGCUGCCUCAAACUCCUAGACUCAAGCAAUCCUCCUGCUUCAGCCUCCCGAGUAGCUGGGACUACAGUUUCCCCAUGUGUAUGCUGUGGUAUUGGAUCAGCAACGAGAUAAGAAGAUCUCUCCCAUUUCCAAGCGUCUAUGAUGAUUCUGAGGCACAAGGUCACAUUUGACAGUACUAGGAAACCCAGGAAACAAGAAGCAAAGAUGACAAAGGCUGUGUCUGCCUGGGCAGACGAUCUAUUUGGACAAGAUAAUAGACCCAGGCAUGGACAUGCUCUCCAAGAAAGAUGCCCUGACAGCUGCUCACACUGAAGCUGAAUCGAACAUUCCAAUCCUUAGAGGUUCCAGCGAAGAUCUUGAAGUCUCCCUGAGCCAUUGACACAAUGGCCAUGCCAUCCCAGUGAUAAAACACAAAUUGUGGCCUUGUUUUGGACAGAAAUAAAGAGCCCAGUUUGUUAGUGAUUUACUGAUAAUAACUGAAUCGAGUACUAAUACUUGGCGAUUUUAAAAGCCAUCAUGUUAAAAAGACCACCUGAUUCCCAGUGACCCUGCAGUGACUGGGUUUGGGCAGCUCGUCCCCUGCACCUGUUUGGGGCUGUGCCAGCCACUUCCAGUGAGAACAUCGCAUUAACUUGCGGUCGCAGACCUGGCUGGACCCCUUGAACCAAAUUCCUUUCUGACCUUAUCAGACCCCAAAUAAAAGAGCUCACCAGGCCCCUCAGCCUACGUGACCCACCUGCCCAGUGAAAAAAGUAGGGCCCUGUUCUGUUCUCUGAGGAUGGUCAGUGUGCUCUUUGAUGAAAACGGUUUCUAAGCUGAGGCCUGAGACCUAGAUCAUUGUUCUCACAGCGUGUGCUUGACCAGCCACACCAGAAGCACCCAGGCUGCUGGCUAAAAACACUGAUGCUGGGGCCCACCCUAGCCCCUGGGUAGGGGGUAGAGACCUAAGGUUUGGCAUUUUUACAAGCUCCUAGGGUGAUUCUUAGAUGCCCUGAUGAUUGAGAACCACUGCUCGAGCUUCUUAAAUGGCUGCUGAAGAAUGAU